GGCAGGAUCUAUACUAUAUAUAUAUAUACUGGAUCUAUACUGAGCCCUCCCCAUAGGGCUGGAUCUACACCGAGCCCACCCCAUAGGGCAGCAUCUAUACUGAGCCCACCCCAUAGGGCUGGGUCUAUACUCUCUAUAUACUGGAUCUAUACUCUCUAUACUGUAUCUAUACUCUAUAUCUAUACUGUAUCUAUAUUCUCCAUACUGGAUCUAUACUCUAUACCUAUAGUGGGUCUGUGCUCUGUGUGCAGUGACGUUGCGGUGGAGCUGCCCUUCACUUUGAUGCACCCCAAACCCCGAGAGGAGCCGACGCACCGUGACGUUCCAGAGAACGAAGCUCCCAUAGACACGAACCCUGAUAGAGCUCGACACAAAUGACGACGACAUCGUGUUCGAGGACUUUGCCCGGCAGCGGCUCAAGGG
ensembl:lncRNA